GUGAGUGAGAGAGACAGCGAGCGAAUGAGUGAGAGAGACAGCGAGCGAAUGAGUGAGAGAGACAGCGAGCGAGUGAGUGAGAGAGACAGCGAGCGAAUGAGUGAGAGAGACAGCGAGUGAGUGAGAGAGACAGCGAGCGAGUGAGUGAGAGAGACAGCGAGCGAGUGAGUGAGAGAGACAGCGAGCGAGUGAGUGAGAGAGACAGCGAGCGAGUGAGUGAGAGAGACAGCGAGCGAGUGAGUGAGAGAGACAGCGAGCGAAUGAGAGAGACAGCGAGCGAGUGAGACAGAGCAAGUGAGUGAGAGAGACAGCGAGCGAGUGAGAGAGAGAGACAGCGAGCGAGUGAGGUGAGAGAGACAGCGAGCGAGCGAGUGAGUGAGACAGCGAGCGAGCGAGUGAGUGAGACAGCGAGCGAGCGAGUGAG
ensembl:lncRNA